AGCCUGCAACUCGACUGCAUGAAGCCGGAAUCGCUAGUAAUCGCGGAUCAGAAUGCCGCGGUGAAUACGUUCCCGGGUCUUGUACACACCGCCCGUCACACCAUGGGAGUCGGAAAUGCCCGAAGCCGGUGGCCUAACCGAUAAGGGAGGAGCCGUCGAAGGCAGGUCUGAUGACUGGGGUGAAGUCGUAACAAGGUAAC
rnacentral:rRNA from 1 species